GGCACUUGGUGUAGGGGUAACACGCCGCUCUCGGUAGCACGAGCUGUGAAGGAGCGGAGUCCUCUGGUUCGAAUCCAGAGUAUGCCA